rnacentral:rRNA from 1 species
UGGUAAGGUAAAAGCUUACCAAGGCGACGAUGGGUAGCCGGCCUGAGAGGGUGAACGGCCACACUGGAACUGAGACACGGUCCAGACUCCUACGGGAGGCAGCAGUGGGGAAUAUUGCACAAUGGAGGGAACUCUGAUGCAGCGACGCCGCGUGAACGAAGAAGGCCUUCGGGUCGUAAAGUUCUGUCCUUGGGGACGAUAAUGACGGUACCCAAGGAGGAAGCUCCGGCUAACUACGUGCCAGCAGCCGCGGUAAUACGUAGGGAGCUAGCGUUGUCCGGAAUUAUUGGGCGUAAAGGGUUCGUAGGCGGCCUAAUAAGUCAGAUGUGAAAUCAAACGGCUCAACCGUUUUAAGCAUUUGAAACUGUAAGGCUUGAGUUAAGGAGAGGGAAGUGGAAUUCCUAGUGUAGCGGUGAAAUGCGUAGAUAUUAGGAGGAAUACCAGUGGCGAAGGCGACUUUCUGGCCUUUAACUGACGCUGAGGAACGAAAGCGUGGGGAGCAAACAGGAUUAGAUACCCUGGUAGUCCACGCCGUAAACGAUGAGUGCUAGGUGUCGGGAGUCAAAUCUCGGUGCCGCAGCUAA